rnacentral:tRNA from 1 species
CCCCGGGUGGCUCAGUUGGUAGAGCACGGUGUUUGCAACACCAGGGUUGUGGGUUUGAUUCCCACGGUGGGGC